CAGGGGAGGGUGCUCCGCCGCUCCCAGUGCCCUGGUCCCGCUCCCCGAUGCGCGGAGCUCCCCCAGUCGGGAGGCAGCAGCGCGCCGGGGAGGGCGCGCGAGGAGGCCCGGCGUGGACGCGGCCCCAGGCGCGCGGGGAGGCCCGGCGUGGGCUCUUGGUGCUCCGGGGCUGGGAGGUCAACCCUGAGCCCUGAUGUGCAGGCGAAAGUCCUGCCUGCGCAGUGUCCCUCGAGGCGCACUCACGACCUGUGCUCUGCUGGACGGCCUCCACUCAGAGGGCAUCCUGGGUGCCAGCGGCCUGCCCGUGUCUGGACCCUGCUCCACCCUUACCAGGCUGCGUGACCUUGAGCAAUCGACUCAGCCCCUCUUCGCAGUGGAGACGGUGGAGACAUCACGUGGAUUAACCUGCUGAUAUCCGCCCUGCGAGAGCUUGGGACGAACGGCUUUGCCCGUCGGAGAGGAUGACAAUUACCAGCUUGGAGGAAGACCAGUUGCUCCCGUUCCAGUCCCCCGGUGUUGGCCAUCACAGAGACAGCCAUGUGUCUUUGCCCCACUGUCUCUUGGGUUAGGCAGGGCUGCGCGGUGCAGGUGAGGACGGCAGGACUGCUCAGCUCCAGGGAGAGCUUGUCUGGCGUUGCUGGGUGGGGCAGGUGAGGGGCAGUUCAUAGGAAGGCUGUGUGGUUAUUCAUUUUCAGUUUGAUUUUUUUGUUUAAAAGGGCAUUAAAGAGACAGAUGGCAUAAUGUUUA